ACAUGUGCAUAUGUAUAUUUGCACGUAUGCAUAUAUGCAUACACAUGGAUGACCAUGCAUGUGGAAGUCAGGCAGUAAUGUCUAGUGCUGCCUUUGAUCUCUCUCGAUCUUAUAUAUAGAGGCAGGGGCCUGCUACUUAAGCCCAGACCUCACCUAUUCCAUUACAUUAGCUACUAUCUUACUUUAGAGGUUUCUUGUCUUUGCCUCCUAGAUUGAGGGGAUUACAUCAAUCCUACCUGGCAUAUGUGAGGAUGCUGGGCAUUUAUAUUCUGCUCCUUAUACUUAUACAGAACCAUCUUCCCAAUGCUACCUGUCUCAAGUCUGUACUCUUAAGCCAUAACUCCUCAUUCUCUAUCCUCUUGUCCCAAGCCAGCACUGUUGUGCUUUCUGUCUCUAUGAAGCGUUUAAGCAUUAACACCUCAGAGAUCGUGGCAGUGUGUGGCAUCUACCCUGUCAAGGCUUGUUCACUUUGUGUGUCUUCAGAGGUCAUCCACAUGGUCGCACAUGCCACAUGUCUUCUUUUUUUAAAGACUGAGUCUUGCUUUGUACUUGUGUUCAGCAUUUUGUUGACAUCUUCAUCCCUCCAGGGGUCCUUGGGCUUUCUUUGUCUUUGGACAUUGUAAACAGUAUAGC
rnacentral:lncRNA from 1 species